UUUACUUGACCUUGAUGGCUCCUCCAUACUUACGCUCAAGGUCAAAGACGUACCACCGUUUGAUGCAUUUGUUGAAACCCUACAACUUGUGUAUCAAAUAUUGUUUCCUAAAAUGUCUCGUUUAUUUGACCGUUUCCAGACUUUUCUAACACCCUGUAUGUAAUGAUACCGUAAAGAUUCGAUAAUUGCGAAACGCUCGGGUUCGUUUCGUUCGUAUCGUACAAUUCCUGCAUUGUUAGAAGUUUGCCGACCGCUUCGAACAUAGAAAAGAACAGCGAAUAGGAAAAAGAACGGAGCGUUCGAGGAGAAAUACAAACCACUAUCACUACUCAUGGCGUUUCAAGGAGUAUACCCCCAGCGGUGGGGAUGAGUUCUUCGCAAUUAUCCAAUAUUUACUGUACUCAUUAUUAGGUAAUUUCUACUUGGCCAUCAUAGGCAAUCCAAGACGGCAAUUCGUGAACUUCUCCACGAGCAUAAAUCGAUGGAUAGCGGAUAUGGUCGCCCGUAUCUGUUUUUUCCGACAGAUAAUAAACUCCAUCGUGUAUCUUCGCAAAAUAUUGAUUCCUGUGAAACUUUGUUCGACCAAGCUAAACAUGGAAGACACUUACAUUUUUAUUAAAAUCGAAUCCUGGCAAACAUGGAAGUAUAGGAUCACGUUGCAUUUUACUUUUUAGGAAAAUAAGAGUUUCACUAAUACAUUAAAUGUACGCAAAUGAAUAAUUAACAGUAACUUUACGACGGAACUUUAUGCUUUACACUUUAUACAUUUGGUACCGAUGUAAGAAUCCAACAUACUUGUAUUUGUUUUGUCUCCUUGGAGAUGAUUUCAUUGGGUUCAUAACAGAAAUAAUUGUAAAAAGUUGCAGUUUGAAAUGCAUAUAAUUAUUAUUAUCAACAAUUAGCAAUAUUAUAUUGGUAGUAUUUUAAACCAAUAGGUACAAAAACAUAUACCAAAAAUUUAAUAUUCAAUACAAUAAUUUAUAUACGGGUGUAUGUUAAUUUCGUAAUUGUUAGUAACAUAUUAUGCUAUCCAUAAAUUGAACAACAUUGUAUAAUGAGAUUCAUUACUUACUAAUAGUGCAAUCAUAAUUUGCAGGUGUACAAGUGUACUGUACAAAUUUGUAGAUAAAUUAACAUUUAAAAUAAAUCAAUGCAUGUUAUAAAUAUUAAUAUACAUAACAAAAAUGUAACAAAAAGAAUAAAAUAAAUUUUAGUUCACAAA